UUUCUUUCUUCUUUCUUCCCUUCGACUUUGCUCGUCCUCGCCGUCGCCGCUUCCUCCGCCCGGUGCGACGGUCUCCGGCGUCUCCUCUUCUCUUCUUCUUUCUUCUUCUCUUUCUUCUUGGCUGCUUCUUUUUCUUCUUGGUUGUUUUUUUUGUUGAUUUCUUGCUGUUUUUUUUUGCUUUGCUUUGUAGGUGUUGACGACGGCGGUGCUACGGCGGAGGAUACGGUGGCACGGAUGUGGCGGUGGUGGGGGCUCUUUGGCUUGCUGCUGGUUUUAUUUUUUUUGAACUUUCUCUGCUCUUUUUUUUCUUUUGUAUUUGAAAUUUGAGAACCCCCCUCUUCCCUUUCAAUUUCUUCCUUUUAAUCUGCUCACUUUGUCUUCUUUCUCUUUGUUUGCAGGUGGCAGUGGAGCAAUCAUGGCCUAGGGAGGCUGCUGGAGUAGCUCGGCUACCGAUUGGGUGAUUUGACAAGUCUAGAAGGACUAAAUUGUAGAUGGCGCAAAGUUUCUGGGGCAAAAUGAAAUUUUAUUAAAAUAUAGGGCUGAAGUGUAAUUUCUAAAAAGUUUAGGGGCCCAAAUAUAAUUUACAAAAUAUUAGGGGUUAAAAUGUAAUUUUUGAAAAAAUUGGGGGCCAAAAUAUAAUUUUCAAAAAGUACAGAGGUUAAAAUGUAAUUUUUAUUUUUUGCAUUUUAUAUUUUUUUCGAGAUUUUUUAUUACUACUAUUUUAUUAAUAUUUAAAAUAGAAAUUAAAAAUGGACUAAGACAAUUCCAAAAUAAAAUCCUAAUGGGCCCAAUCGUUGGGCCUAUAUGAGACCAGCCCGGCCCGAGACCCUACCUUGGCAAAAUUUAGUGAUUACAAUAACAAUAAGCAAUAUUUCAAAUCUUGUAUUUAAU
rnacentral:lncRNA from 1 species